GAUGAACGCUGGCGGCGUGCCUAAUACAUGCCAGUCGAGCGAACAGACGAGGAGCUUGCUCCUCUGACGUUAGCGGCGGACGGGUGAGUAACACGUGGAUAACCUACCUAUAAGACUGGGAUAACUUCGGGAAACCGGAGCUAAUACCGGAUAAUAUAUUGAACCGCAUGGUUCAAUAGUGAAAGACGGUUUUGCUGUCACUUAUAGAUGGAUCCGCGCCGCAUUAGCUAGUUGGUAAGGUAACGGCUUACCAAGGCAACGAUGCGUAGCCGACCUGAGAGGGUGGUCGGCCACACUGGAACUGAGACACGGUCCAGACUCCUACGGGAGGCAGCAGUAGGGAAUCUUCCGCAAUGGGCGAGAGCCUGACGUAGCAACGCCGCGUGAGUGAUGAAGGUCUUCGGAUCGUAAAACUCUGUUAUUAGGGAAGAACAAAUGUGUAAGUAACUAUGCACGUCUUGACGGUACCUAAUCAGAAAGCCACGGCUAACUACGUG
rnacentral:rRNA from 1 species